GGCCUGAACGCUGGCGGCGUGGCUAAGACAUGCAAGUCGCACGGUGUAGCAAUACACAGUGGCGAACGGGUGAGUAAUGAAUCGCUAAUGUGCCCCGGACUCUGGGAUAGCUAGCCGAAAGGCUAGGUAAUACCAGAUGAUAUAACCGCUCCGCAUGGAGUGGUUCUCAAAGGUCCGCCGGUCUGGGAGCAGGCGAUUUCGAUCA
rnacentral:rRNA from 1 species